AGCGAACGCUGGCGGCAGGCCUAACACAUGCAAGUCGAACGAACCUUUCGGGGUUAGUGGCGGACGGGUGAGUAACACGUGGGAACGUGCCUUUAGGUUCGGAAUAACUCAGGGAAACUUGUGCUAAUACCGAAUGUGCCCUUCGGGGGAAAGAUUUAUCGCCUUUAGAGCGGCCCGCGUCUGAUUAGCUAGUUGGUUGAGGUAAUGGCUCACCAAGGCGACGAUCAGUAGCUGGUCUGAGAGGAUGAUCAGCCACAUUGGGACUGAGACACGGCCCAAACAGGUAGGGGAGCGAGGAGGGGGCCAGCGGUAGGCGGGGACGAAAGGCGGAAGCACGCAGGCUGGGUGAAUGAGGAAGGUGUAAGGUGGUAAAAUUUCUUCCGCCGGGGAAAAGAAGGACGGGACCGGCAGAGGCAGCCCCGGUAAACGGCGGGGAGGCGGCGGGGUUAAUCGGGGAAAGAGCAAACGGGUGAAC
rnacentral:rRNA from 1 species